UUUUUUUAUGACUGAAAUGCAUUUUCAUAUUACUAGUUGUGCCACAGGUAAAGAAGCUUAGCCGUUAUUGAUCUAUGUAAACAGAAGGUGUAGAGUCUCAACCAACUUGUUGACAUUUUUGUUUAAAAAUGUGUUUUCCAGCUACCGGAAGAAGCAGGCUUCUGAAACUGCAAUUCAGGGAGGUAAUGUGCAGUCAACCUCGACACCCAGUAAGAGAACAGCAGCUAAAAUGUCGCAUCGAUUAUCUCCAACUGAACCUGUGUCUGAGGGGGAAGAUUUUCUAAUGGCUGGUGUUGAGGCCUUAGCUGAUGACCUAGAUUUGGAUCCUUUUGAAGAAAGAAAUAAUUAAUGACAGAUGUAUUAGGCUCCACAUUUAUCUCUUUAGAAUCAGUACCAUUUCAGGUAAGUUCCAGUAUUUAUCUUUACGUACAACAAAUAUUAUUGUGUUGUCUGUAGUUUCAAAUCCAUGGAUCCAGCUACGGAUGCAGUCCAAAUUGAUGAGGACCAAGCAAACAACUUACUCAACAGUGUGUGAGUUGCAAUGUCUUCUUAUCUACACUCUUUUUUAAACUCCAAAGUCUUAAAACAAUAUAUCAAUUCUACUUUUAUUUAUUGUUUUCAUAACAGAAUAGAACUGUUAUGAAAACUUUGUCAGGCUGACGAAG